AUUGAACGCUGGCGGCAUGCCUUACACAUGCAAGUCGAACGGUAACAGGUCUUCGGAUGCUGACGAGUGGCGAACGGGUGAGUAAUACAUCGGAACGUGCCUAGUAGUGGGGGAUAACUACUCGAAAGAGUGGCUAAUACCGCAUGAGAUCUACGGAUGAAAGCAGGGGAUCGCAAGACCUUGUGCUACUAGAGCGGCCGAUGGCAGAUUAGGUAGUUGGUGGGAUAAAAGCUUACCAAGCCGACGAUCUGUAGCCGGUCUGAGAGGACGAUCAGCCACACUGGGACUGAGACACGGCCAAGACUCCUACGGGAGGCAGCAGUGGGGAAUUUUGGACAAUGGGCGCAAGCCUGAUCCAGCAAUGCCGCGUGCAGGAUGAAGGCCUUCGGGUUGUAAACUGCUUUUGUACGGAACGAAAAGCCCUGGGUUAAUACCCUGGGGUCAUGACGGUACCGUAAGAAUAAGCACCGGCUAACUACGUGCCAGCCGCCGCCGUAA
rnacentral:rRNA from 1 species